UGGCGGACACAAAGCCAGCGUUUAUUACUCGCUCACCGACUUGGAGGGGAGGGGGAAGCGGAGAAAAAAAAAAAAAAUAGAAAACAAGCUUAGGGACAGAAAACAAGCCCCCGCGCCGCCCGGAGCUUCCGCGCUGGCGGCCGCGGAGCCCCUCUCCGGUGCGGCGGCUGUGCGGAGCCCGGCGCGGCGGCGGCGGCAGCUCCCGGGACGGGGCAAUCCCCUCCGCGGCCCGGCCCGGCGGCGGCAACUUUUCCGCCUCCAGGAAGCUUUUGGUGCAGCCGGAGGCCGGGGCUGCUCGGCGGCGGGGCAGCGUCCCCCGCUCGGCGGGACUGCGGGGGAGUGGGGGCUGCGGGAGCGCUGGGGUCCGCGGGGGUGUUGCGGAGGGAGGGGGGGGGCAAGAAAGUGGGUGUCGGGGGGGGGGUUUUCCGCCCCUUUCGGGGGGACGGCGCGGGCAGCAUGUGUGGCCGGACGGGGCAACCGUCCCGCGGGGCUCCAGGAUCAGCCGCCCCGCGGCAGCCCCACUUUGUUCCCCCGCUCCGCGGGGCGCGGAGAAAGGCGCGGGGGGCGCGGAUCCAUCUCCCGCGGGCUCAGGAUGCCAGACCGCCCCGCGGGGGGAGGGCGGAGGGAAAACAUCAAAAAACGGAAAGAGUUUGGAGUUUCGUUAAGAAACAGGCGAAACAAAACGCUGAGUUAAAAAAAAUAAAAUAAAAGCCAAGAACUUGGACCAAAACCCCCGAAGGACCCCCCCCCCCCGCACGUAACUCCGGGAGAUCCUGCUGUCCCGCUCCGCCGCCCGGCGCGGUCCCGUCUCCCCGCAAGGGAAUGAGAACUUGUCUUUGGUGAUAGAAGAGUUAACACAGCUGGCAGAGAAGAAAAACAUCAGAAGAAAACAAAUUGACAAAGCUAAUCAAAUCCAGACAUAUGCAAACUAAAAUCUGAAAUAGGAUUCAAGGUCAUUCUCUUGUGCCACCUCUUGCGGUAGCCUCAUCUGCUGGGCUGUUCUCACCAUGAAAAAACCUGAGCGGGAGUGCAGAUUCUGCAAUAUGAUCCAUCUGCAGAGCAAAUUUCAGAGUUGUUCAUGAGCAGAGCGCUGAUGACUGACCAUGACUGGAGCUGCUAGAGGAUGUCAGGCUGAUACGCAGUUGCUCUUACUCUACCAGAGUGCCCAGCUGGGGUGUCUUCCAAGUCUCAGAUGUGAGGUCAAUGAAGCAUUUUCCCCAAACCAGAUUGGUACGGACUACUAGAAAAUUUUUGGGUUUACUUUCCUCAGAAGGUUUGAAUUAUCCAAGAUAAUUUGAGAAUUUUGCCCCCCUCCCCAAACUAUAAGUGAACGAGUCCA